rnacentral:rRNA from 1 species
UACGGGGGGAGCAAGCGUUGUUCGGAUUUACUGGGCGUAAAGGGCGCGUAGGCGGCCACCGCAAGUCGACUGUGAAAUCUCCGGGCUUAACCCGGAAAGGUCAGCCGAUACUGCGGGGCUAGAGUGCAGAAGGGGCAACUGGAAUUCUCGGUGUAGCGGUGAAAUGCGUAGAUAUCGAGAGGAACACCUGCGGCGAAGGCGGCGCUCUGGGCCGGUACUGACACUGAGGAGCGAAAGCGUGGGUAGCAAACAGG